UCCGGUUGAUCCUGCCAGAGGCCGCUGCUAUCCGGCUGGGACUAAGCCAUGGGAGUCAUGGGGCGCGGGCCCUUCGGGGUUCGCGCACCGGCGGACGGCUCAGUAACACGUGGCCAACCUGCCCUCGGGAGGGGGAUAACCCCGGGAAACUGGGGCUAAACCCCCAUAGGGGAUGGGUGGUGGAAUUCCCCCAUCCCCGAAAGUGUGCGGUUGCCGUAAGGCGCCGCACAGCCCGAGGAUGGGGCUGCGGCGGAUUAGGUAGUUGGCGGGGUAACGGCCCGCCAAGCCGAAGAUCCGUACGGGCCAUGAGAGUGGGAGCCCGGAGAUGGCCCCUGAGACAAGGGGCCAGGCCCUACGGGGCGCACCAGGCGCGAAACCUCCGCAAUGCGGGAAACCGCGACGGGGUCAGCCGGAGUGCCCGCGCAUCGCGCGGGCUGUCGGGGAGCCUAAACAGCUCCCCAUAGCAAGGGCCGGGCAAGGCCGGUGGCAGCCGCCGCGGUAAUACCGGCGGCCCGAGUGGCGGCCACUAUUAUUGGGCCUAAAGCGUCCGUAGCCGGGCGGGUAAGUCCCCCGGGAAAUCUGGCGGCUUAACCGUCAGACUUCCGGGGGAUACUGCCCGCCUAGGGACCGGGAGAGGCCGGGGGAAUUCCCGGGGUAGGGGUGAAAUCCUAUAAUC
rnacentral:rRNA from 1 species